UUCCUGGAGGGCGGCCCGCAGGUGGCGGCGCAGGCCGGCAGGCGGGCGGGGCAGUGGAAGGGGAGGGCUUGGCGCGCGUCGGGCGGUGACGGCAGCGCGGAGGGGAGGUNGCUGCGCGCGGGAGGGAGCGCGGGGCAGCCCGAGCACCCCGACGACCCCCGCGUCCCGGAACCGCGGACCCCGAGCCCCGCGAGCGCCAAGUCGGCGGCGGACAGCAGGAGGAGGGGUCCCCGAAGCCGAACCCCGCCGCGUGCACCCCGGUGCCGCCCGGCCGGCUGCUGGCGGAGGGAACCGGAGCCGCCGGGCGGCCGGGGCCGGGCCGAGGACAACGAAGAGGAGGCGGCCAGCAGAGCCGAGCGCCCGGGUAGCCCCGCGCGGGAGGCUCCCGGGACCGCGCCUGCUCCGGGGCCGCGCUCCCUGCGUCUCUCGCGGCUGCUUGCCUCCAGAGUCUUGAUUGGAUACCUGGCACUGUUUAUUUCUGAUCCUUGAGCUCUUGGAGAUCCAGAGUUACCAGCAGAAAACUGCAUUGUGAGUAAAAGCACUGAUAAACCACUGUUCUGGGAAAACUGAUUUUUGAAAUGUUAGGGUGUCUCUCCCAGCACUUCUCACCUGGCUGCACUUUGGGGAAGGAGAGAAGCAUUGUCACCCCUCCCCCACCAUCCCUGAGGUCUCCCCAGGGGACAUGUGCUGUGACUUUCUUUAAGCUAGAAACUGGGUGAGGGACUCGCAAGCCAGCUUUUGAGGGGUUUCUGAAUUCCUGAUUCCUGAGUUGCUGUGUGUGGGUGAUCUUACACGAAAUCACAUUCGGUGUGUAUUGGUCAGUAAUGGAAGGAAUGUGGUGAGGGUCGAUUGGAGCCAUCCUGGAGAGCCCACGGGAUGUGGUCCUCAUCCCUGGAAUACCUCGGGAGUGCUUCAGAAAGUUUCCUGUUGAUUUCCCUGAGUCCUCAGGGUUAGCAUUUGGAGUUGUGGUUUGGGAGUUUAGACCCUUUGGUUCGUAUAUGAUCAUAGAAGUACCACGUCAUAGCUUCAGGAGAUCCCCAGCAUCAUUUGGACCACGUCCCUUGUUGUUUACACCUUACUGUUUAUUCUGUAAAUACUUUCUUAGUAUCCAGCAGAUGCCAGGACCAGCCCAUGCUUUCAAGGUGCGCACAAUGAGUGGGAGACGUGGGUCCGGGACAAGUGAUGAUGGAGGCAUGGAGGUUGUAUCAAAUACACGGAGGCUUUUCCCAAAGUGAACUCCAUUCAGCUAGGUGUCAUGUGGAGAAAGGUCUCACAGUGAAAUAGGAUGGGAGAUGCUGGCAUGUGAAGAUUAUGGUCAAAUCUGCGAAUCUAUGAUUGUUUCAAGAAUGUUAGAUGAACCUGGCAUGGAGGCGUGUGUCUUUGGUGGAUUAUCUCCUCUUCCAGAAUUCAGUGUGGGUUGGGCCGGCUGUAAUUUGUAACUGUUUUUGUAUUGAUAGAAGUUUAGGUUGUUUUCAUUUGACUUUAAUGGGCUAGAGAUUGGUCUUUUCAUUUCAAGAAGGGCUUCUCAAUACAGUGGAAUACUAUUCAGCCUUUAGAAAGAAUGAAAUUCUGACACAUGCUCCAACAUGGAUAAACCUUGAGGAUAUUACGCUAAGUGACGUAAGUCAGUUGCAAGAAGACAUAGUAUGGUUCCACUCACAUGAGGCACUGAGAGUAGGGAAUUCAUAGGCUAGAAAGUAGAUGGUGGUUGGUUGCCAGGUUCUGGCGGGAGAGGGGGAUGGGGGUUGUUUAAUGGGUGCAGUUUCUGUUCUGCGAGAUGAAAAACGUUCUGGAGAUUGGUUACACAGCAAUGGGAAUGUACUCAGCACUACUGAACUUCACACUUAAAAAUGGUUAAGAGGGUACAUUUUAUGUUUUUUGGCUUUUUUUUUUUUUUACCACAACAAAACAAAAGUAUGACCAAAGAAAGUCAUGUGGUGAGCAUUAAAAUUUGCAAAUUAUGGGAUAUGAUGUAUACCUUGAGUGCAGCAUGCAUGUGAAUGCACAUGCCUAUGUACUUAAUUCUUUUCACUGGGGUUUGAGGUGAGAAAAUAAACUGGAGUAGUUCUGUUCUACUUAAAAAAGAAAGGCCUCUCAAGCUUCUGAAGGCUUUGCCAGUUGCAGCACAUAAUAAGUGUACUUUGUACUUCAAAAUGGUUGCUUGUGUUCUGUUUUGAGGCUUGAGUGAGCAUUUGCUGAUGUGUCCAAACUAUAUUUUUUAGAAAGUGCUCAUACUUUCGUGAGCUAUUUGUUUUUUUUAAAGAUUUUAUUUAUUUGAGAGAGAGCGAGCAUGAGCUGGGGGAGGGGCAGAGGGAGAAGCAGGCUCCCCACUGAGCAGGGAGCCCAACAUGGGGCUGGACCCCAGGACCCUGGGAUCAUGAUCUGAGCUGAAGGCGGACGCUUAACCGACUGAGUCACCCAGGCAUCCUUGAACUAUUUGUUUUAUAACAGUAUGUUUCUGGGUUGAGUGUAUGACUACUGUAAAUUGAAGCAAAGGCACCAGGAGGCAGGACAGUAGCAAUUUAGGGCUGGUAAUCAGGAUUUAGGCCAAUUCCCUCAUUUUAUGGAUCGUGAAAGCAAAAGUUGUAUAAUCCAUGGUUGAAGUCUUCUUUAAGAAAUCUGUAUAUUCGAGGGGCGCCUGGGUGGUUCAGUCGUUAAGCGUCUGGCUUCGGCUCAGGGCGUGAUCCCAGAGUGUUGGGAUCGAGCCCCACAUCAGGCUCCUCCACCGGGAGCCUGCUUCUUCCUCUCCCACUCCCCCUGCCUGUGUUCCCUCUCUCUCUGGCUGUCUCUCUCUCUGUCAAAUAAAUAAAUAAAAUCUUAAAAAAGAAGAAAUAGGUGAGGCUUAACUUGUAAAAAAAAAAAAAAUCUGUGUAUUUGAGAACCCUUGUUUAAAAAAAGAAUACAUUGAUUUGAAUGGACUUUUCCUAGCUUUCAGCAAAACAGUGGCAUUUUGCCAAGAGAGAAAGUAUCAGACUUCUGUGUUAGGAUCAUAUGGAAUGCAUCUGAGUACAGAUUACGGAAGGUUUGAGUGAGGGUUCCGUCUGUUACCAGGUGUAAAACUUUUUGAAGGCCAUGUUUAUUAUCUCCCAUCUCUCUGGGCAGGGCGUCUUCCCAUGAUGAUAAAUUCAUACCGGCUCUGAAACUUCUUUUCCCGGCUGCAUGGUUGCCUUCUCUGUUGCUGAGUUGUAAUUGACCCCUGCUCUCUGUAGCACGGUGGGUUGUGCUUAGCAUUGCACGGUGAUAAGCAUCCUGGGCCCAGGUCCGUCUGAGCCAGAGCCCACAUAGAUUGGGCCAGGCUGCCUCCUCAAUUCAUUACCAUCCCUCCCACCCCAAGUAAUGCCUGAAACUGUUUCUUAAAACUCUUGCCAAAUUGAACCUUUUAUAAUUUUUAAAUCUUUGUCAGUCUGAUAAGGAGUUUUUUUGUUUGGUUGGGUUUUUGUUUUUUUGUUUUUUGUUUUUUUUAGAUCUCUAUUAAGGUUCCUUAACAUGUUUGGUGUGUGUGUUUGUGUUAUAUCUUUUUUGGGGACUAGAGAAGCUAUAUCCUUUGACCAUUUUUUUCCCUUUGAGCUGUUUGCUUCAGGUUUGUGAAUCGUGCAUUAUCGAGACGUUAAUUCUAAGUGUCCCUGGUUUAGUUUCACUGCCAUUCUUACUGUAGCAGGCCCUCCUCACCUUCGAGUCCUUUCCCUUGAUCUGUUCAUUAGUGAGAGCCCGUAAGGUGUGGUCAGCAUACCUGGCUGGAGCUUCCCUGGGAGUAUCGGGGAUCAAAUCUUUAAGCUUUUAUAUAUCUGACAAUGUCUUUCUGUUGUCUUUGCAUAGAACAGUAGCUCAAUUGGCUCACAGGUCUCUUCUGGAGGUCUCCUGGUCUGCCUCCUCAGACCUCUGCUGCCUGCAUGCUUUUGGGGUUGGGCUUGGGAAUUCCAGGCUUUUUCUUACCAGGCAGCUUAUCCAUUUGUAUUUGAAUCACUGAGUAGAUGUGACAAUGUGGUUGUCUCAGGUUCCCUUUCACUUUUCACCAGGGAUCUACGGGCUUCCCCACACCUUCCCACUUUUUAGUGUGUUCGCUUUGAUGAGGGCUGAAUUCACUUAUAUCUAAUAGGAACUCUUGGUGUAUUGUGGUAAAUAACCUCUUGGGGAGGGAAAAGGUCACAGACCUAGGGCCGUAGUUUUCUUUCAGAACUGAUUGUGCUGUGUUGGUGUUGGGUAAAAUGUCCAUUAGCUUUCCCCUCUUUUUGUUUUCUUUCUUAUUAAAAAAAACAAACUGUAAACACAAUAUAUCCUGGAACAGUAAUUCUCAAACUUUGCUGGUCCCAGGAUCCCUUAAAAAUUAUUGCAGAUCCCAAAGAGCUUUUGUUCAUAGGUAUUAUAUUGAUUCAUAUGUAUUGUAUUAGAAAUCAAAACAGAAAAAUUUAAGCCACAGUGAUACAGUACACAUUUCCAUUAAUCAGCCUUCAGGGAAAGGUGUCACCACACAUCACGCGGUCUCCGGAAAACUCCACGUGCAUCUGUGAGAGAAUGAGAGUGAGCUACCUUAGAAAAUCUUCUGCCUUGUGAGCCCUUCAGACUGGUCUCAGGGAACCCCAGGGGUUCUCGGAUCGUGCUUUGAGAAUCAUUGUGCUAAAGUGUGUCCACAAUUUACUGCAGUUUCUUUUAUCAAAAUUGAAGAAUUUGAUGGGAAAUACUUUGGUUUGAAGGACACACUGCAGAAUUUGUGAUCUGAACCCACAUCAUCUCAGGGCCCUUAUUUUAUUGUCCUUUUUUUUUUUUCCAGAGACUCUACUAACUCUGCUCUU
rnacentral:lncRNA from 1 species